ensembl:lncRNA
AAAAAAUUAAGUCUCUAAAGUGACAGGAAAGAUCACAGGCCUGGAUCCUUUCCUGAUCUUGUCCAACAACGGCCAUCAUCUGAUUCACCACCACAGAGCACACUGUAAACAAGGAGGAUGCAGCAGCCACGCAGAUGGGGAGAGGAUGAGGUGUCCCUGCUGCCUGUUCCCAGCACAGGAGGGCUUGGGUUGCACUGAGCCGCAACUAACGGGAGGGCUGUGGCCCCUUGGCUUCUUCUGCUUUGUUCAGCAGAAGCCAGUCAUGCUUUGAGAAGCCUACCUAAAAGUUGUGUUAGUUUCUGUAAUGGACAUAAGACAAUUUAUACUCUGGACAUAUGAAUGAAAUAAAUAGAUAUAUAAAGGCUUCCUCUAAUAUGAG